rnacentral:rRNA from 1 species
GGUCAGGACGAACGCUGGCGGCAUGCCUAACACAUGCAAGUCGAACGGGGGUAGCAAUACCCUAGUGGCGAACGGGUGAGUAACACAUAAGCAAUCUGCCCUUCACAGGGGGAUAACAGCGGGAAACUGCUGCUAAUACCGCAUAAGACCACGGUACCGCAUGGUACAGGGGUAAAAACGAAUCAGUGGUGAAGGAUGAGCUUAUGUCCCAUUAGCUAGUUGGUGAGAUAACAGCCCACCAAGGCGACGAUGGGUAGCCGACCUGAGAGGGUGAUCGGCCACACUGGAACUGAGACACGGUCCAGACUCCUACGGGAGGCAGCAGUGGGGAAUAUUGGGCAAUGGAGGAAAAACCUCUUACCCAGCAAUGCCGCGUGAGUGAAGAAGGUCUUCGGAUUGUAAAGCUCUUUGAUUGGGGACGAAGAGAGUGACGGUACCCAAAGAACAAGCCCCGGCUAACUACGUGCCAGCCGCCGC